GAUGAACGCUGGCGGCGUGCCUAAUACAUGCAAGUCGAGCGAAUGGAUUAAGAGCUUGCUCUUAUGAAGUUAGCGGCGGACGGGUGAGUAACACGUGGGUAACCUGCCCAUAAGACUGGGAUAACUCCGGGAAACCGGGGCUAAUACCGGAUAACAUUUUGAACCGCAUGGUUCGAAAUUGAAAGGCGGCUUCGGCUGUCACUUAUGGAUGGACCCGCGUCGCAUUAGCUAGUUGGUGAGGUAACGGCUCACCAAGGCAACGAUGCGUAGCCGACCUGGGAGGGUGAUCGGCCACACUGGGACGGAGACACGGCCCAGACUCCGACGGGAGGCAGCAGUAGGGAGUCUUCCGCAAUGGACGAAAGUCUGACGGAGCAACGCCGCGUGAGUGGUGAAGGCUUUCGGGUCGUAAAACUCUGUUGUUAGGGAAGAACAAGUGCUAGUUGAAUAAGCUGGCACCUUGACGGUACCUAACCAGAAAGCCACGGCUAACUACGUGCCAGCAGCCGCCGUAA
rnacentral:rRNA from 1 species